UAGGGAAUCUUCGGCAAUGGACGGAAGUCUGACCGAGCAACGCCGCGUGAGUGAAGAAGGUUUUCGGAUCGUAAAGCUCUGUUGUAAGAGAAGAACGAGUGUGAGAGUGGAAAGUUCACACUGUGACGGUAUCUUACCAGAAAGGGACGGCUAACUACGUGCCAGCAGCCGCGGUAAUACGUAGGCCCCGAGCGUUGUCCGGAUUUAUUGGGCGUAAAGCGAGCGCAGGCGGUUAGAUAAGUCUGAAGUUAAAGGCUGUGGCUUAACCAUAGUAGGCUUUGGAAACUGUUUAACUUGAGUGCAAGAGGGGAGAGUGGAAUUCCAUGUGUAGCGGUGAAAUGCGUAGAUAUAUGGAGGAACACCGGUGGCGAAAGCGGCUCUCUGGCUUGUAACUGACGCUGAGGCUCGAAAGCGUGGGGAGCAAACAGGAUUAGAUACCCUGGUAGUCCACGCUGUAAACGAUGAGUGCUAGGUGUUAGACCCUUUCCGGGGUUUAGUGCCGUAGCUAACGCAUUAAGCACUCCGCCUGGGGAGUACGACCGCAAGGUUG
rnacentral:rRNA from 1 species